GAUGAAUGCUGGCGGCGUGCCUAAUACAUGCAAGUCGAGCGAACAGACGAGGAGCUUGCUCCUCUGACGUUAGCGGCGGACGGGUGAGUAACACGUGGAUAACCUACCUAUAAGACUGGGAUAGCUUCGGGAAACCGGAGCUAAUACCGGAUAAUAUAUUGAACCGCAUGGUUCAAUAGUGAAAGACGGUUUUGCUGUCACUUAUAGAUGGAUCCGCGCCGCAUUAGCUAGUUGGUAAGGUAACGGCUUACCAAGGCGACGAUGCGUAGCCGACCUGAGAGGGUGAUCGGCCACACUGGAACUGAGACACGGUCCAGACUCCUACGGGAGGCAGCAGUAGGGAAUCUUCCGCAAUGGGCGAAAGCCUGACGGAGCAACGCCGCGUGAGUGAUGAAGGUCUUCGGAUCGUAAAACUCUGUUAUUAGGGAAGAACAAAUGUGUAAGUAACUAUGCACGUCUUGACGGUACCUAAUCAGAAAGCCACGGCUAACUACGUG
rnacentral:rRNA from 1 species